AGAACGAACGCUGGCGGCGUGGAUAAGACAUGCAAGUCGAACGCGACUUAUCAGGUUAGCAAUAACUCGGUAAGUUGAGUGGCGAAAGGGUGCGUAACACGUGGGAAUUUACCGAGAAGUGGGGGAAUAGCUUGACGAAAGUCAAAUUAAUACCGCAUACGAUCGAAAGAUCAAAGCCGGGGACCGCAAGGCCUGGCGCUUUUUGAGAAGCCCGCGGCCCAUCAGCUAGUUGGCGGGGUAAAAGCCCACCAAGGCUAUGACGGGUAGCUGGUCUGAGAGGACGACCAGCCACACUGGAACUGAGACACGGUCCAGACACCUACGGUGGCAGCAGUCGAGAAUUUUUCACAAUGGACGAAA
rnacentral:rRNA from 1 species